ensembl:snRNA U6 U6 spliceosomal RNA
AUGCUCUCUUCGGCAGCACAUACACUAAAUUUGGAAUGAUACAGAGAAGAUUAGCAUGGCCCCUGCACAAGGAUGACACGCAAAUUCAUGAAGCAUUCCAUAUUUUU